rnacentral:rRNA from 1 species
AUUGAACGCUGGCGGCAGGCCUAACACAUGCAAGUCGAGCGGAUGAAGGGAGCUUGCUCCUGGAUUCAGCGGCGGACGGUUGAGUAAUGCCUAGGAAUCUGCCUGGUCGUGGGGGAUAACGUCCUGAAACGGGCUCUUAUACCGCAUCCGUCCUGUGGUAGACAUUGGGUGAUCUUCGGACCUCACGCUAUCAUAUUAGCCUAGGUCGGAUUAGCUAGUUGGUGGGGUAAAGGCCUACCAAGGCGACGAUCCGUAACUGGUCUGAGAGGAUGACCAGUCACACUGGAACUGAGACACAGUACAGACACCGGCGGGGAGAAGCAGUGGAGAAUAUUAGACGAGGGGGGAGAGGCUGAUCCAGCCAAGCCGCGUGUGGGAAGAAGGUGUUCGGAUGGGAAAGCACUGUAAGUUGGGAGGAAGGGAAGUAAGUUAAUACCGGGCUAUUUUGACGUUACCAACAGAAUAAGCACCGGCUAACUUCGUG